rfam:Danio rerio chromosome 4, GRCz11 reference primary assembly.
GCCCGGUUAGCUCAGUCGGUAAAGCAUGAGACUCUUAAUCUCAGGGUCCCGGGUUCGAGACCCACGUUGGGCG